rnacentral:lncRNA from 1 species
CAUUUAGAUGUGGGCGGGGCAUCCGUGACCUGUAGUAUGAGAAGUUUUUUACAGAAAGGAGACUAUGUUUUUAUGUAUUUAUUGUUGUUCAUUUCUGCUGGUUCAAGUGUCGACCAGCAGGGGGAGUCGCCUCGCUUCAGUCAGGAACAGGAGAGUCCAAAGAAAACAGCAGAAAAUAGAGGAUUGAAAAAAAGACAAAAAAGAAUCUAAAUGUGAUCAUCAGAUCGACAAGGAGAAUUCAAAGCUAAAAAAAUCUUACUUAAGCUUGAAUGAGAAGUCAAGAAAAUUCAAAUUCAACUUCAGUUCUGUGAGCGUCCUGCAGGUAAGACAACAGGUCAGCAUGAAAUAGUUCUUCAUCUAUAGAUAAUAUUUUUAACAAAAAUGAUAUUUUCAGCCAGGUUCACCACAUAAACUUUUAACGCCUGAAAUGUCGUGUCACUCAAACAAACGCAGUUAAAAAGCUGCAUAAUGAAGCUAAAAAAACCUGAUGUCCAGAAAAUGUGGCUGGCACAUUUUUAAGCAAUAGUUAAAAAAAAGUGAAAAGCUUCUGAGGUAUUUUUGAAUCUAAUAAUACUAUAUUGCAGGAUAAUCUGGGAAGAAUAAUCAAAGUGGAAUUAUUUGAUAUCAAUCAGUGCACAGUUUCAAAUCAAAAAAGACAGUUUAAAAUGCACGCUCUUACAAGCUUGAGUAAGAUCGUUUAAAGGGGAUAUUCCAUGAAAUCAACUUUUUUCAGCUUUUAAUUAUGUCCAAUCCUCACAGAAAACACCUCCAAAGCAGCAUUUUGAUCCCUUCAUGGAUCUAUAAACCUGCUCUCUGACCACCAGCCACUCCCAACCCUCCAAAUACCUGGGAGGAACAGCCCCUUCCAAGAGGAGUGUGUGCCACCAGCCCCGCCCCCUCGGAAUGACUCUUCCCCUGUCAGGAAGCAUCGACUCUGAGGAGAAGUGGUUCUCUCUCCCAACACAAAAUGGGCGGUACCCACAAAGAAGCGAAAGGCGGAGCCUCAGAGAUCGAGGUGUCUGACUUCUGGGAUUCCACGCCAGCUUUUCUCCUACCUGUCUGGAUUCCUCCUCCGCUCCUGCCGCUUCAAAGCCACCCUUCUGCCGGAAUUCGCUGUCUUCUCCACACUCUGCAUUCCAGGAUUCCACGCCGCCUCCAAAAGGUUUUGCCCAAAAGCACCUCUGUCAGACUACCUUUCUCGCCUAGGAUUAACUCCCGCUCCAGCGUCCAGUUUCAGCACUCUUCCUCUGCUCCUCUCCGCCGCCACGGCUCGUCAUCCACUGCUCCCUUGACAACGGCGCCUCCUCCUGGCCGGCGGCAGUACUAC